CAUGUAGUUCAGUUGGUUAGAGCGUCAGAUUGUGGUUCUGAAUGUCGUGGGUUCGAGUCCCAUCUUC
rnacentral:tRNA from 1 species